rnacentral:rRNA from 1 species
AUGGCGCCGCCGCCGCCACCAAACGAAGCGGACCUCGCCGCGCCGGCCGCGCUGCGGGCGCCGGCGGACGUGAUCUCCCGGGUCUUCUCGCAGCUGGACUGCGUCGACCUCCUCAGCUGCUCCCUCGUCUGCAGGUCAGCUCCCCCUCUUCCUGCACGCGCGGUGUUCGACAGAUUGCCUGCUGUAGGCAGUGGUGCCGCGAUUCUGCGGAGCUACGGGAAGAGUGGAGGAUGGAGUACAUGGACGCCUGGAAGCUGCAGGGUCUCAGCGUCAAGUCCGAUGCCCGAUCGCCGUGCCCAACUUGCUCCAUCAGAAGCCUGCGAACCUGGUGCCCUUGACCUUCAACCAGGCAGGGCACUGGAGUUGCAUCAGUUUGCCACAAGCAUACUCAGUGUCAGUGCUACCAGUACAAGACCAAGCUUUAUCAUGUGUACAUACAUGCUUGAUAAACUGUAUUGA